rnacentral:rRNA from 1 species
UGCCNCCAAAAANAUNAGGGCUUUCCCUUCGGGGACAGAGUGACAGGUGGUGCAUGGUUGUCGUCAGCUCGUGUCGUGAGAUGUUGGGUUAAGUCCCGCAACGAGCGCAACCCUUGAUCUUAGUUGCCAGCAUUCAGUUGGGCACUCUAAGGUGACUGCCGGUGACAAACCGGAGGAAGGUGGGGAUGACGUCAAAUCAUCAUGCCCCUUAUGACCUGGGCUACACACGUGCUACAAUGGACAGAACAAAGGGCUGCAAGACCGCAAGGUUUAGCCAAUCCCAUAAAUCUGUUCUCAGUUCGGAUCGCAGUCUGCAACUCGACUGCGUGAAGCUGGAAUCGCUAGUAAUCGCGGAUCAGCAUGCCCGGNAANANUUAGANNAUCCUCC